AUAAUAAUAAUAAUAAUAUAUGCCAUUUAGCAGACGCUUUUAUCCAAAGCGACUUACAGUCAUGUGUGCAUACAUUCUACGUAUGGGUGGUCCCGGGAAUCGAACCCACUACCCUGGCGUUACAAGCGCCAUGCUCAACCAACUGAGCUACAGAAGUUGGGUGAAGGUCGCUGGGUGUUGGGUGAAGGUCGCUAGGUGUUGGGUGAAGGUCGCUGGGUGUUGGGUGAAGGUCGCUAGGUGUUGGGUGAAGGUCGCUAGGUGUUGGGUGAAGGUCGCUGGGUGUUGGGUGAAGGUCGCUAGGUGUUGGGUGAAGGUCGCUAGGUGUUGGGUGAAGGUCGCUGGGUGUUGGGUGAAGGUCGCUAGGUGUUGGGUGAAGGUCGCUAGGUGUUGGGUGAAGGUCGCUAGGUGUUGGGUGAAGGUCGCUGGGUGUUGGGUGAAGGUCGCUAGGUGUUGGGUGAAGGUCGCUAGGUGUUGGGUGAAGGUCGCUAGGUGUUGGGUGAAGGUCAUGAAUAAAGUGGUAGAGGUCCUUAGGUACAGAUCUAGGAUCAGAAUACAAUAAUGUACUGCCAUGGUACAGGUUGUCCUUAGCCACAGAUCUAAGGUACAUCACUUAUUUGAUUUUUUUAAA